rnacentral:rRNA from 1 species
GAUGAACGCUAGCGGCAGGCCUAAUACAUGCAAGUCGGACGGGAUUGAGAAGCUUGCUUUUCAUGAGAGUGGCGCACGGGUGCGUAACACGUAUGUAACCUACCCAUAUCAGGGGGAUAGCCUCCCGAAAGAGAGAUUAAGACCGCAUAACAUUAUUGAAUGGCAUCAUUUAAUAAUCAAAUAUUUAUAGGAUAUGGAUGGGCAUGCGGAACAUUAGCUAGUUGGUAAGGUAACGGCUUACCAAGGCUACGAUGUUUAGGGGAUCUGGGAGGAUGACCCCCCACACUGGUACUGAGACACGGACCAGACUCAUACGGGAGGCAGCAGUAAGGAAUAUUGGUCAAUGGACGGAAGUCCUAACCAGCCAUGCCGCGUGCAGGAAGACGGCCCUAUGGGUUGUAAACUGCUUUUGCAGGGGAAUAAACCUCGAUACGUGUAUCGAGCUGAAUGUACUCUGAGAAUAAGGAUCGGCUAACUCCGUGCCAGCCGCCGCGGUAA